UUAUCUUCUUUAAUCACAAACUAACAACCCUCCCUAUUAAAAGUUGACAACACAUCACCUACCCUACCCCAUACCCCCUCCUCCUCACCUUUCUUGGACACAAAGCAAAAAAGGAUAAGCAUACACUCAGAAAAUGGGGCCCAUGGAUCACACACAUAGAGAAGGGAAUUUUCCAAGUAUUUUUUUUUACCAUAACAAUUCAACAAAGACAAAAAAAAAGGAGGGGGUCCACGUAGAUAAGUCAUCAACCCAUAGUCAUUUUCUCUUUUCUCUCCAGAAACCAUCACAAAUAGGCCAUGAACACAUAGAAACAAAGGAUGCUCCCAGAUUUCUCCAUUGGAGCAAAGACAAUACGCACACACACAAAAUACCAUACAUACAUACACUUACACAGAAGAAGAUAAGCACACGACACACUGAUAUACAUCUUUGAUCAGAGAGAAUGGAAGGGGUUUUGGAGAGAGAUUAAGAAAAGAAGAGAGAUCGAGAGAGGAUAAGAGUGACAGGGGUUAACUGCUCUAGAGAGGUUCUCUUCGGAAAGUGCCAUUAUCAUCAAAAUUUCAUCCGUCCUUCCUUUCCUGUCAUUGUCUAAGCUCGCCGGAGCUCCGACGAGACGAAAACGACACCUCAGUCCAAGACACUCCUUCCCCGACCCCAAAGCCACCAGAAAACACCAUCCACGAGAUACCAGUAGCCUCAUCACCUCUCAGUUGAGAAACUGACUCAAAAUUAUGGUCGACGUUCGGAGUUGCGGUCAGAUUUAUUUUCGAUUUUGCUUGAAUUUCUCAUUUGUUCUAAGUUUCCAAUCAGUUUUUGGGGAAUUGUGUAAAUAUUAGGGUUCGAGACUUGGAGGUUGAUAUCUGAGGUCGGGUUGUUACCGAGGUUUCAGAUCGAGGUUCUUGGGCAGGCAAAUUCGUCUUCUCAAUUGAUUGAUAUUCGGAGUAAAAUCAUCAUUGAGGAGCCUGCCUGAAGAACAGAGAGAAUAAAUGAAAAGUCAAGCAACAUGGUGAAGAAGUUGAAGGUCAAGCAACAAGAUGAAGAAACUGAAAGUCAAUAGAUUAAAAAUAUAGCAAGUCAGGAGCCCGCCUGAAGAAUAGGAUGAUGAAGUUGAAAAUCAAGCAGCAAGUUGAAGAAAUUGCAAGUCAGGAACCCGCCUGAAGAAUAGGGUGAUAAAACUCAAGUCAAGGGGCCAACAGAAGCUGUAUAGAUAGGAUUUUUGUAAUUUCAUUUAUGUUUUAACUUAUAAUUUUUCAUUUUGAUGUAAUGACAGAUCCGUGGACCGGAACCUCAACAGGACCUCACUCGACCCUCCAACUUGGUAGUCCUUCUUUCUUCUAUUUCUUCCUUUGAGUAAUGGUUGGGUCAAAAUUUGGUCUUGUUGUCUAAUUUUUUAUCUAAAAACACUAUGUGUUUACACACAAAAAGGGGCAUGAUGUAAACCUAAUUUUUUCCCUCCCGAAGUACAAUUUUAUCUAUUUUUAGUUCCCCUUAUCACGUGCCCUACCCCGUGUAAUUAUUCCUCCACAAAAUGACAAAAUAACAAAUCCAACAACCCUUAACAAAUUUUAUCUUCUUUAAUAACAAACUAACAACUCUCCCUAUUAAAAGUUGACAACACAUCACCUACCCUACCCCAUACCCCCUCCUCUUCACCUUUCUUGGACACAAAGCAAAAAAAGGAUAAGCAUACACUAAGAAAAAUGGGGCCCAUAGAUCAUACACAUAGAGAAGGGAAUUUUCCAAGUAUUUUUCUUUUCCAUAACAAUUCAACAAAGACAAAAAAAGGAGGGGGCCCACGUAGAUAAGUCACCAACCCAUAGUCAUUUUCUCUUUUCACUCCAAAAAUCAUCACAAAUAGGCCAUGAACACAUAGAAACAGAGGAUGCUCCCAGAUUUUUCCAUUGGAGCAAAGACAAUACGCACACACACAUAAUACCAUACAUACAUACACUUACACAGAAGAAGAUAAUCACACGACACACUGAUAUACAACUUUGAUCGAAGAGAAUGGGAGGGGUUUUAGAAAGAGAUUGAGAAAAGAAGAGAGGUCGAGAGAGGAGAAGAGUGAUAGCUGCUCUGGAGAGGUUUUCUUUGGAAAGUGUCAUUAUCAUCAAAAUUCCAUCCGUCCUCCCUUUCCCGUCAUAGUCUAAGCUCUUCGGAGCUCCGGCGAGAUGGAAACGAUACCUCAGUCCAAAGACACUCCUUCCCCGACCACAAAUCCACCAGAAAGCACCAUCAAUAAGCUACCAGUAGUCUCUUCACCUCUCAGUUGAGAAACUAAUUCAAAAUUAUGGUCGACGUUCGGAGUUGUGGUCGAAUUUAAUUCCGGUUUUGCUUGAAUUUCUCGUUUGUUCUAAGUUUCCAAUCAGCUUUUGGGGAAUUAUGUAAAAAUUAGGGUUCAAGACUUGGAGUUUGAUAUCUGAGGUUGGGUUGUUACCGAGGUUUCAGAUCGAGGUUCUUGGGCACGCGGAUUCAUCUUCUCAAUUGACAGAUAUUCGGAGUAAAAUCAUCAUUGAGGUCCAUUUCUACUCCUUUCCUCUUUUUAUUUCAUUGUUGAUGGAAUAUGGUGCAUUGAAUGGAAUCUGCGUGUUGUUUGCUCUUGAUUUUGAUUAGUGAUAAAUUGCUACUUUGACAUUGACUUGUUGCUUAAUUUCAUUGAAAUGGAAAUCUUGAAUUGAGGAAAAUUAGCGUUAAAAGGGAAUUUGGAGGUGAAAAUUGAAAACUUGAUAUAAUUGGUGAAUUUUGGUUAGCUUGACUCAUAGGUUGUUUGACUUAAAAUGAACGUUAAUUGAACUUGAUAGUAUCAUGAUACGUCGAUUGGUUUAGGCAAACAUAGGUUGGGUAGGCAAAGUUUAGAAUUUGUGGCUUUGGUUGAAUGUUGGAAAUUCCAUAGAAUGUUUGAAAUUUUAUUGAAUAGUUUGAUUUUCUUGCACUAAAAAUGUAUUCAUUUGGCCGGGGAAUGCCUCGAGGCAUUUGUAUUGAUUUAUCCGGAGAAUUCCCCAAAGUAUCUUGUACUUGGAAGACGUUCGUGAAGAAGGCUCGAGGCAUUGGGUGGGGCAUUGGAGCUUAGUCUAGGAUUAAUUUAGAAUAGGAUUUGCAUUUCCGUAUUUUACUAUUUCGGGACUGUAUAACUUGGACUGGACACCAUAUUUUUGAUUCAUUUUGUUUUGUUUGUUUGUUUGUUUGUUUG